rnacentral:rRNA from 1 species
CAGCAGCCACGGGAAUACGUAGGUGGCAAGCGUUGUCCGGAAUUAUUGGGCGUAAAGGGCUCGCAGGCGGUUUCUUAAGUCUGAUGUGAAAGCCCCCGGCUCAACCGGGGAGGGUCAUUGGAAACUGGGAAACUUGAGUGCAGAAGAGGAGAGUGGAAUCCCACGUGUAGCGGUGAAAUGCGUAGAGAUGUGGAGGAACACCAGUGGCGAAGGCGACUCUCUGGUCUGUAACUGACGCUGAGGAGCGAAAGCGUGGGGAGCGAACAGGAUUAGAUACCCGCGUAGUCCCUGUCUCUUAUAC